AGCCUACUCUAGCCCAACCACAAUACAACCCAACCAGAUCAGAACCUACUCCUCUGCUAAACCAAAACAUUUUAACAACUUAGUAUAGGUGAUAGAAAAGACCAUUCGGCGCCAUAGAGACCAUGUACCGCAAGGGAAAGAUGAAAUAAUAGUGAAAAACAAAGCAACAAAUAGCAAAGAUUAGCCCUUGUACCUUUUGCAUCAUGAUUUAGCAAGAACAACCAAGCAAAGCGAACUUAAGCUUGCCACCCCGAAACCCAAGCGAGCUACUUACAAGCAGCUACCUGAGCGAACCCGUCUCUGUUGCAAAAGAGUGGGAUGACUUGUUAGUAGAGGUGAAAAGCCAACCGAGCUGGGUGAUAGCUGGUUGCCUGUGAGAUGAAUUUAAGUUCCCCCUUGACUCUCCUCAAUGGCAAUUCAAUCUUAACCCCUAUGAACGAAUCAAGAGCAAUUUAAAGGGGGUACAGCCCCUUUAAAAAAGAACACAACCUCCUAUAGUGGAUAACCCUAACUACCCAUGAACACCUCCAUAACCGUGGGCCUUAAAGCAGCCACCAAUAAAGAAUGCGUCAAAGCUCAACGCACAUAAAUCCAAAAACAACGCGACUCCCUCACCCCUAACAGGCUAACCUAUACACAAUAGGAGCAUUAAUGCUAAAAUGAGUAACCAGGCUUCCCCCUCUCAAGCGCAAACUUACAUCCCACAUUAUUAACAGAUCACUUAACCAAUACUGCAAACACCAACAAGACCUCGUAUUACAAUCCUCCACACUGUUAAUCCAACCCAGGAGCGCUCACUAGAAAGAUUAAAACCUGUAAAAGGAACUAGGCAACCCCAGGACCCGACUGUUUACCAAAAACAUAGCCUUCAGCCAAACAAGUAUUGAAGGUGAUGCCUGCCCAGUGACAUAAUGUUUAACGGCCGCGGUAUCCUAACCGUGCGAAGGUAGCGCAAUCAAUUGUCCCAUAAAUCGAGACCUGUAUGAAUGGCUAAACGAGGUCCUAACUGUCUCUUACAGAUAAUCAGUGAAAUUGAUCUUCCUGUGCAAAAGCAGGAAUAAAUACAUAAGACGAGAAGACCCUGUGGAACUUAAAAAUCAAUGGCCACCCCACACAAAUCAUAAACCUACCAGGCUUAAUUUCCCUACACACUGGCCCACAUUUUUUGGUUGGGGCAACCUUGGAGAAAAACAAACCCUCCAAAAAUAAGACCACCCGUCUUGACUUAGAGCAACCCCUCAACGUACUAACAGUAACCAGACCCAAUAUAAUUGACCAAUGGACCAAGCUACCCCAGGGAUAACAGCGCAAUCUCCUUCAAGAGCCCAUAUCGACAAGGAGGUUUACGACCUCGAUGUUGGAUCAGGACAUCCUAAUGGUGCAGCCGCUAUUAAGGGUUCGUUUGUUCAACGAUUAAUAGUCCUACGUGAUCUGAGUUCAGACCGGAGCAAUCCAGGUCGGUUUCUAUCUAUGUUCCUACUUCCCCCAGUACGAAAGGACCGGUAAAGUGAGGCCAAUACCGCAAGCAUGCCUCCCUUCAAAGUAAUGAACUCAACUAAAUUACAAAAGAAGCACCUAAGCUCUUCAAUCCUAGAAAAGGAUA
rnacentral:rRNA from 1 species